UACGGAGGAUGCGAGCGUUAUCCGGAUUUAUUGGGUUUAAAGGGUGCGUAGGCGGACGCUUAAGUCAGCGGUAAAAUUGCGGGGCUCAACCUCGUCGAGCCGUUGAAACUGGGUGUUUUGAGUGGGCGAGAAGUACGCGGAAUGCGUGGUGUAGCGGUGAAAUGCAUAGAUAUCACGCAGAACUCCGAUUGCGAAGGCAGCGUACCGGCGCCCAACUGACGCUGAAGCACGAAGGCGUGGGUAUCGAACAGG
rnacentral:rRNA from 1 species